rnacentral:tRNA from 1 species
CGGGGCGUAGCGCAGUGGUAGCGCAGUUGCUUUGGGAGCAACAGGUCGGCGGUUCAAACCCGCCCGCCCCGACCA